rnacentral:lncRNA from 1 species
GAGGGUGUGGACAGACGUGCUCUAGGGAGAGACAGUGGCUCCCCUUGGCCAGGUCAAUGACAGUGCAGAGCUGUGGAGACCGUGAGGGGGUGACUCAGGUGUUUGUUUUAGGGCAGGUGAUGGAGGUAACCGACUUAAGCUGGCUAGAGUAGGGGAAGAAUUGCAGGAAGCCACUUGGGUGGCAGCUUUGAGAGCCUAGGCAGAGGUGGU